rnacentral:rRNA from 1 species
CCCUUAGAUGUUCUGGGCCGCACGCGCGCUACACUGACGAAGUCAGCGAGCAUGUCCUACGCCGACAGGAGCGGGGAAUCUUGUCAAACUUCGUCGUGAUGGGGAUUGAUUAUUGAAAUUCUUGAUCAUCAACGAGGAAUUCCUAGUAAGCGCAAGUCAGCAGCUUGCGUUGAUUACGUCCCUGCCCUUUGUACACACCGCCCGUCGCUACUACCGAUUGAAUGGUUUAGUGAGAUCUUCGGAUUGGCGCCACUGCGGCUCAGCAAUGGGCUCGGUGGAUGCCGAAAAGUUGAUCAAACUUGAUCAUUUAGAGGAAGUAAAAGUCGUAACA